GUGGAGAAAAGGGCAAAUAUGUCUUUACUUAACUGGUCGUGGCCACUGCUCUCUGUUGGCUGUUUGUGCUUAGAGACAGACACCAAGGGCUGGCAUUUGCAUGGGUAUAGCAGAGGAGCAGUACUGGUGGACCAGGGACAAAACUGUGGGCUUUUCAGGAGGCAGUGCAUGCCACACAGGUCCCUUGUACUUGAGAUCCUGCUUCUGCUAUAAAAAUUCUAGAAGCUUCUCUUACAACAGUUUCUGCCACUGGGGCUUUUUCCAUACAGUCUUGGGGCUGGAAUCUCCUUCCUGAGUGGGCUGUCACUUCAGCUGAGGCUCCAGCAAGUUGGUUCAAAUAUAGGAUCAUCAUUAUUUGUUCUUCAGUAGCUGUCAGGUUAGUUUGCUUUUUUUUUUCUUACCUGCUUCUUUUACUCUGGGUUCUUUUGUGACCCUCUCUCAAUCUUUAUUCUGUCAUUUCAUUUUAGUCUCAGUGUGGAUUUCUUUGCAUUUGUGUGAUUCUGAGAAUAGCUUCAAACAAAUCCAGUAGUCCAUCUUUGACUACCAGGGACACAUUGCAAGAGUCACUGUGGAUGCUGAAACCAUGAGGAAUCCUGAAAUUGAAAUGUACUACAAUUUUUUUCAUAGCAUAUGAUGAAGUUUAAUCUUUAAAUUAGGCAAGAAGCUUUUAUAAUAAUAGCUAGCUGUAGGAUAAUCCUAACAACCUGCUAUAAUAAAGUUAUGUAAAUACAGUCUUUCUCUUUCAGAAUCUUAGGCUAUAGUCAUUUUUGUUUUGAGGAUGGGAGAUGACCCAACGCCUGAACAAUGAGAUGAAGUGAGGGGAAGAUGUAGACUUUGUAACAUAGUGUUAGGUUUCCAUGUAAGUAGUCCUUGAACACAAACACUGCAAUAUCUGGGACUUACUACAUGGACCAGGUUGGCUUCUAACUCACAGAAAUACACCUGCUUCUGCUAGGAUUAAAGUGUGGCCACCACACCCAGCAUCUGUGGAUCCUUUUAAUGUUUGAAUGUGGCAAAAGACAGGGGAAUGAUGUCCUGUGUUUACAUGGCAGACAAGCAGUGAGUCUUCUCCCACAGGCCCCUUUCACAGGAACACCCAUCAUCCAUAAUGACAAAGCAUUCACAACCUAAAGGCCCUUCUUACUACAACCCGGUUCCCAAUAGGAUCACACUGGAGAUUAAAUGUUUUACCCAUGAAUGGGGCAGGAGCAUUCUAGAUUGUAACCACAGGGUAGUUGAGGAUGGGAUUAGGGGUAAAUUAAACUGCCAGAAGGCUCACAGCUUUGCCUUCCGGACCUUGAGAUUUUGAUGUAAAGUCUGAUUCUAAUAACUUUUUUUUUUUGCCAUUUUUGUUGCAUUUUACAGAGGCAGAUAUUUAGCCUCUUAUGCUUUGUUAUUUCUCCCUGUUGGUUUUUGUUUAUACAUAUCUUAAUGUCCUCCAGAGCAUUCCUUAAGAAUGGCAAUGUAUGCUCUUAACUGAUUUCAGCUUAUCACAAAUGAAUCUUAUCAUCUAUUACCUCAUAUAUAACUGAAUAAGAUUGAAAUAGAUUUUUUUGCCUACACCCCACUUUUAGCUAUUUUUAUUAGAAUGUGUCAUAAACCUCAUGAUUCAGAUUUUUCUUUUAGAUUUAAAUAGCCAGAUGUCCUUUAAAUAAGUCAGACAUUGGCCUUCCUAUUCAUUGGCAUAUUUACUGCUGUUCCAGACAUUCAGUCUUUGAAUACCAUUUUUUCCCCUAAGAAACGGAAGAAAUACUAGAACUUAAAAGUAAGACCUAUUUUUUUGAAGUAUAGCAUCCCAAUAACUAAUUUUAUCAACCUUUAUGUAUGUGAAGGUGCUUAUAUUUCAUUUUCAUAUUUUGCAGAUUAUCUUUCUUAGAAUAAAUAACUUGAUUAAAAAAAAACAACCUCUCAGCCUGUGAUAGUUUGAAUGUAAUUGUCCCCCAUAAUUUCAUAGCAAGGUGUGGUUAGUUGGAGUGGAUAUGAUCUUGUUAGCAGAAGUGUGUCACUGUGUGGGUGGGUUUUAAGGUUUCCUAUGCUCGGGAUUCUGCCCAGUGUUUUAGUCAUCUUCCUGUUGCCUGCAAGAUGUAGGACUCUCAGCUACUCUUCUAGCACCAUGUCUGUCUGCACACCACCAUGAUCCCCAAUGAUAAUGGACUGAACCUCUGAAACUCUUCCCUCACAGAGACACACAGCACCAACUCAAAUGUUCACCAGGGAACCAAGGGUGAAGAAAUGUGGCCAGUGGAUACAACAGAAUGGUGUUCAGUCAUAAAAAGGAUGACAUUCUGACAGAGCUUUUUGAUGAAGGUCUAGUCCAAUGGGAGAUAGAAGAAAGAUCUGCUGCCUUCUACCCUCUUCUAUGCUGCUUACUCAAACAGAGGGAAAGUCACAACCAGUCUGCAUUGCCUGAUAUUAGAGCGUGCUCUUACAUGAGAAAUACAAUUGUAUCUUAAUCUAAUAUUAUUUUAUUUACAAGUAUUUUGUUUAUGUUGUUCACAUUUCCAUGGCUGACUCCAUAGCUGACAAAACAGUUUUUGCUGUAGGGGUGACUCUAAGGAGAAUGGUUACUUUUUAAGUGUGUUUAGUAGACUUCCAUCUGAUUACUCAUAACUUUUCAUCUACUCAUUUUUUCUUUGAUGGGCUUUAACCUGGUGCUGACAUCCUUUAUCCUGCAGCUGUUUAAUAUGAAUGUUUCCAUUUUGUUUUACUCUAACUAGCUCUUGUCAAGGGGUUAAGAUUGGGCAAUCCCUAGCCAAACUGGCUUCCUUAAGAGUAUGUGUAUGUCAGGUGGAGCCUUUGCGUUGGCCUGGGUGGAAAAGGCAUCUUUGUAAAACAUGUGGUGUCUACUUAAAAGCUGAGCUCCUGGUUAGUAUUUACUGGGAAAUUCAAAACAAUUUCCCAGUUCAGUUAGCCAGCAUAACAUUGCACAGAUCUGGUUUUCUGCCUGGAACAUCCAGUACCAAGCCGUGCAUUUCCCUCAAAUUGAAAUUCCAAUCUCAGUAUGGUCUCCACAAUAUCCCUCUUAUUUUCUGCUAGUAUUCCAAAACCCCUCCCUGCCUAUGCUGGGUCCAGGCUUUCUCUUUGUUCCUCUCUUCAGAAUUUAGGUAACCAUGGUGAAUUCACCUGCUGCUCAGGUGGAGGGUGGUGCUUUUAGCCUGAAAUCCAACUGGGUUUGACCCGUAGGCUUCAAAUCCUCAUUUUACUCCCAUUGCCAGUAUCAAGUACAACAUUUUAAAGUAUUGACUUAGGUGACCCAACCCCACUGUUGAAAGGAAAAUGUCCUGGAAAGCAAGAGCAAUUUCACAGUAAUGCAUUAAAGGGAACACUUAGUCCCCAGCACUGUUUCCAAUAUUCUUUGUGUCCUUUUCCAUCACCUAUACUAACACCAAGGUUCAUCUGGCUUCAUCCUAGAGGGAUUCUGCAUUCUUCUCCUGGGUGAAUCUCAUAUUCUCCCCCAUGUCUUUUCUUACUGUUUCACAAAAGCACAAGAAAGGUUCCUCCAAAGAGCAUACAGAGUAGCAAAGAGGUCAAAAUGGAACAAAACACAAUCCCUUGUUGAAGUUAGAAGAGAAGACUGUGAGUAUUUAUAAAUUGAUUUGUAAUAACAGACCAGGCUGGACUUCCUACAUAGCUAAGGAUAGCCCUGCAUUCCUGAUCUUCCUGUUUCCACCUCCCAAGUGCUGGGGUUACAGUUGUGCACUGCCACUCCUGGAUGAGUUCACACGUUGUACCUUAACACAGAGACAGAUGGAUAUUCAUCUUUUUUUCUUUUAAAAUUUCUUGUAUAAUGGUGUAUUUGAUUGACACGAGUGCUUGUGAGUUUGAGGACACCAUCAGGUUCUGUGAUCCCCAAAAUCACCCAUAGCUGAUACUUGUUGAUUUUGUAGUCACUACACUUUUAUAUACAAGAGCAAGACAAAGGUGUAAAUGUUGACAGUAGUCAUAGUAAGUACUUUACACCAGAUGUGAAAUUCGUGGAUGAAAAAGGAUGGGCCCAGGAAAUUCACCGAAGUGGUGGAAUUCUUUUUCUUUAACACAUAAUAUUUUGGGGAGAAAAUGGACUAUUUCUUGGGGAUGAGCUUCAGUGAUCGGGAGUAGAUGAAAAAUAAUAAUGGGAAAAUAAUGGAAACCACUGAAAUACUUCUCAGUUCCUCAUCACACUCAGCAAAAGAUGGCAAAGGACUGUCCCAGAACCCAGGGCAAAGGAUCCUGAAGAUGUGUGGUGAAGGGAACCAUGGGCCAGUCAUAGUUUUGUCAUAAGCAAUUUUGAAGGUGGUUGCUUGAUUGUUGUCUCUCCACCAGAAGCUAGUCAAUGGGUUACCAUGAAACAGAGGUAGAGCCAAGUGAGUGGUUCUGAGAGUCCUUUCAAAGAGAUGGACAUUUCUUAGACAAAGCUUCAGCAGUAUGAUUUGCAAAUUACCUUCUAAAAAUAUCAACUAGGCUCAAUAAAAUAUGAACUGCAAUCAAUAAGGCACAGAGGAAUACAUGAUAAAUGGACAGAUAAACGAACUAGGAGGUAUGUUAACUGUUAGAAAGGAAAAUGUAAGCAUAAUGAAAAAUAGACAGUCCUGUUCUCACCAAGUGUCCCUGCAUGCAUGGGUACAGACUGAAGCUCAUAUGUGAAUCCCUGACCUCAAAUAGGAUCAUGUUGAGUGAUGGGCAACAGAAAAGUGGGCCUCAAGGCUGAUUCUCUUACAUGAAGGCAAAUAAACACCUGGACUCUGGGCAUAGUGAGAAAGUGACAUCUGCAAACCAGGAAAAGGCUUCACCAGAAACCAACCUUGGAGACUCCUUGACCUUGAACUGUAGCCUUCAGAAUGAUGAGAAAGAAAAUGAACCUUUGUUUAGGCCCCAGUCAGCAUAACACUAGAGAGUAAAACACACUGAAUGGGUGUGUAAAGCUGGGACCAGAGUGAUGGAAGAGGGGCAGUAUAGCAGUACCUGGGAACCUCCUUCGGAAUGUGAAGAUCUAGAGAAAGAAACAGGAAGGUGGAAGAUUUGGGACAUGGAGAUUUUGAGUAUAUCUUUUUAUAAGAAAAUGACACCAAAAAUAGUAUCUAGACAAUAUUUACAAAUAUAAAUUUUAAUGCUUAGAUGAUGAAACUGCAACGAUUGCUCAUAAAAUGACUCCUUAUAAGAAAACAUAAUCAAUUAUGAGACUAACAACUUCUUUUAGUCCCACACUAUUGAGCAGGUCUAAGAUUAAAGAAUCUUUAAACCCUGGUUUCCAAGUGUGUUUUGGACAACUCAAGGCACCAGGACAAACUCCCAGGGCACUGUGGAAGUAUUUUACACUUGGGGGAGAUUCAGGGACACUGGACAUGCUUUAGGAGCCAUGGGCUUUGCUUUUCAAGGUAGUGCACAAUUUGUAUGUUAGAUAGUGUUUCGUUCCUUUUUAUGAUGUCAUAUCAUCGUGAGACUGGAUUCCUGGUGGAUGCUUUAAUUAAAGAAAAGCACAUUCUGCAUGACCGUUAAUGUAGAGCAACAAAUGAGAUGCUGGAGUGAGCAAGAAUGAGACAUGCAAUAUUAUUGUGUAAUUAUGCUUGUUGGGUAACUUAAGGGUGAUUGUCAAGCAGUAUUAAAUUAUUUAAACAUUUCGUCAGCUGGGGAAGUUUAGAGACCCGUAAGUAAGUAUGAAGAUACCUGAAGAGGUUUGUGAUAUGUUCUCUCCAUUCUUGAAUAUGUGUGUGUGUGUGUGUGUGUGUGUGUGUGUGUGUGUGUGUGUGUGUGUGUGUGUGUGUGUAAAGUUGAAUGUAAUUUGUAAUUGUUUUGGUUUUUUAGAGGUCAUUAUGAAUUUUAUUUUAUUUAUUUUUCUAUUUUUUAUUUAAAUUAGAAACAAGCUUUUCUUACACGUCAAUCCCAGUUCCCUCUCCCUCCCCUCCUUCCUUGCCCCCCACUAGCCCCCUAUCCCAUCCCCUUUCUGCUCCCCAGGGAGGGUGAGGCCUUUCAUGGGGGAUCUUCAAAGUCUGUCAUAUCAUUUGGAACAGGGCCUAGAUCCUUCCCCAUGUGUCUAGGCUCAGAGAGUAUCACUCAAUGUGUAAUGGGCUCCCAAAGUCCAUUUGUAUGCUAUGGAUAAAUAUUGAUCUACUACCAGAGGCCCCAUAGAUUAUCUCCUCACUGACACCCACGUUCAGGGGGCUCUGGAUCAGUCCUUUGCUGGUUUUUUGGGGUCCAUGAGCUCCACCUUAUUCAGUUUAGCUAUUUCUGUGGAUUUCACCAGCCUGGUCUUGACCCCUUUGCUCAUCACUCCUCCCUCUCUGCAACUGGAUUCCAGGAGUUCAGUUCAGUGUUUAGCUGUGGGUGUCUGUUUCUGCUUCUAUCAGUUACUGGAUGAAGGCUCUAGGGUGGCAUAUAAGGUAGUCAUUAGUCUCAUUAUCAGAGAAGGGCAUUUAAGGUAGCCUCUCCACUAUUGCUUAGAUUGUUAGUUGGUGUCAUCCUUGUAGAUCUCUGGACAUUUCCCUAGUACCAGAUUUCUCUUUAAACCCAUAAUGGAUCCCUCUAUUAUGGUAUCUCCUAUGUUGGUCUCCUCUGUUCUUCCCCCAAUUCAACCUUCCUGCUCUCUUAUGUCCUCCUCUCCCCUCCUCUUCUCCCUUUCUCUUUCUACUAGCUCCCUCUCCCAUCCCCACCAUGCUCUCAAAUUGCUCAGGAGCCCUUGUCCCUUUCCCCUUCUCCAGGGGACCAUAUAUCUCUCUCUUAGGGUCCUCCUUGUUUCCCAGCUGCUCUGGCGGUGUGGAUUGUAGACUGAUAAUUCUUUGUUCUAUGUCUAAAAUCCAUAUAUGAGUGCAUACAUGCCAUGUUUGUCUUUUUGUGACUGGGUUAUCUCACUCAGAAUGGUUUCUUCUAGUUCUAUCCAUUUUCCUGAAAAUUUCAAGAUUCCAUUGUUUUUUUUCCCACUGAGUAGUACUCCAUUUUAUAAAUGUACCACAUUUUCUCUAUCCAUUCUUCAGUUGAGGGGCAUCUAGGUUGCUUCCAGGUUCUGGCUAUUACAAAUAAUGCUGCUAUGAACAUAGUUGAACAGAUGUCCUGGUUUAUGAAUGUGCAUCUUUUGGGUAUAUGCCUAAGAGUGGAAUUGCUGGAUCUUGUGGUAGAUUGAUUGCCAUUUUAUUGAGGAGUCGCCAUACUGAUUUCCAAAGUGGCUGUACAAGUUGUCACUUCCACCAGCAGUGGAGGAGUGUUCCCCUUUCUCCACAUCCUCUCCAGCAUAAAUUGCUGUUGAUGUUUUUGAUUCUAGCUAUUCUGACAGGAGUAAGAUGUAUCUCAGAGUUGUUUUGAUUUGCAUUUCCCUGAUGGCUGAGGAUGUUGAACACUUUCUUAAGUGUCUAUCAGCCAUUUUAGACUCUUCUAUUGAGAACUCUCUAUUUAGUUCUGUACCCCACUUUUUAAUUGGAUUAUUUGUUGUUUUGGAGACUAGCUUCUUGAGUUCUUUGUAAAAUUUGGAGAUCAGCCCCUGUUAGAUGUGGGGUUGGUGAAUAUCUUUUUGUUUUGUCUUGGUGACUAUGUCCUUUGCCUUACAGAAGCUUCUCAGUUUCAGGAGGUCCCAUUUAUUAAUUGUCGAUCUCAGUGUCUGUGCUACUGGUGUUAUGUUCAGGAAGUGGUCUCCUGUACCAAUUCGUUCAAGGGUACUUCCCACUUUCUCUUCUAAGAGAUUCAUUGUGGCUGGAUUUAUGUUGAGGUCUUUGAUCCAUUUGUGCAUGGCGAUAGAUAUGGAUCUAUCUGCAUUCUUCUACAUUCCAGCAUCCAGUUAUGCCAGCACCAUUUGUUGAAGAUGCUUUCUUUUUUUCCAUUGUAUAAUUUAAGCUUCUUUGUCAAAAAUCAGGUGUUCAUAGGUGUGUGGGUUAUCAGGGUUUUCAAUUUGAUUCCAUUGGUCUACCUGUUUAUUUUUGUGCUAAUACCAAGCUGUUUUCAGGACUAUAGCUCUAUAAUAGAGCUUGAAGUCAGGACUGGUGAUGCCUCUGGAAGUUCCUUUAUUGUACAGGGUUGUUUUGGCUAUCCUGGUGUUUUGUUUUCCCAUAUAAAUUUGAGUUUUGUUCUUUCAAGGUCUGUGAAGAAUUAUUUUGGAAAAAACUUAGUAUUUUUUAAAUGCAAGCUGACUGCAUUGCUUUUUCAGACAAUAAAUACAAUUGGAUUAAUUUAAAUCCUUCAUUGGCCUCUACAAGCUUUAUUGAGAGAAUGCUAGUUUCUAAGUGCUUCUAGGGCACAGAACUUAUUUUUAAUAUGUCAGAAAUUUCCAUGACAUUUUAUUGAUACCUUUAGCUUAUUUAGGAAAACUUUAAGAAGUCAUAAAAAUGUGACUUUAAAUACAGCUAAAGAAUAAUCUUCAAAGAAAAAAUGAAACCUCAGAUACAAGUAGCUAACUUCUUUAUAUAUUGUAUUCUUUUAGACUCAAAAACAAAAUAUGUUGAAAAUGCAACAACACAUGCUGGUUUCAUUGCAUUAGUGUUGAGUCUAAUGACAGACAUUUAUGCAAUAAAGUAUUUUAAAACUCUAAGGAAUAGUCAAUAUUUUCCUUUUGCUGCAAAAAGAUAUUUAGUACCAGGCAGUUUAGUAACACAGUUUUAAUGAUUUUAUAAAUAUCAAACCAUAACUGUUUAAGCGUGUGCACUUGGCUUUUAUUUUUACAAUCUCAUUUAUCAGAUCAUUUUGUGAUUUCCAGGUUAUAUUAUACAAAACCAAAAAUGCUACCACGAACUAAAAACAAAACACCAAAUGUAUGAAUUUAAGCUUAAUGGGACAAAGGCCAAAGAUUAUCACCGAACACUAGAAAAGUAAAAUAUUAAGAAAACAGUAAAAUCGUAACCUUGCUUACGAUAUAAUUGGAAGUAGAUGGACGAGGAAUUGGUAUAGGAAGAGUGGAUUCUGUCUGUAAAUCAGUGAUCCGCAACCUCUGGAUUGUGACCCUUCUGAGGGUAUCAUAUAAAAUAUUUACAUUAUGAUUCAUUUAAAAAAGUAGCAAAAUUACAGUUAUGAGGUAGCAAUGAAAUAAUUUUAUGGUUGGGGGUCACAACAGCAUGAGGAACUGUAUUUAAGGGUCACAGCAGGAAGAAGCUUGAGAACCACUGCUCUAAACAACACAGUCUUGCUGACAUGAGCAGAAUCUUUCUACCCUGCAGAGACUUUGCCCAGUGGCCUGUGAUUUGGUUAAGAAGAAUCAGAGGUUUACCUUGAGUGGACCAAGUCAGCCCAAGCAAAUUUGCUUCCUGUGUUAAUAUACUUCCAGAUGUGCUGUAGAACCAGACGACUACACAGCAUUUUGAAUUAUGUCAUGUUAACAGCUCUUCCAAUCUUACUUUGUUCUCUUAGUCUCACAGCAAGGCAAAAUCAAAAGAUGAGACAGAAGAGCUCCCCAUGGCUGAAUCAGCUGUGGAUGGAUGUUGGAGAGGAAUGGGCACUACAGCUCUCUCAGGGCAAGCUUGGGUACACACUCUGGGACCGCUUGACUCAGAAAGAGGACUCUAGUAUCCUGCUAGCACAAGACUGCCAGCAACAAAAAACUUUUGCAAAGGCGAGAUCGGUGCACUUUGCAUGCCUAAGAGGUGAGAAUUUUGCGGCUGCGCUUCUAGGCAGCAGCACCAGGAGGCGCUAAUGCACCAUAGUUCGUUGUCGCACUGCCAGCCCAGGUGUUGCCAGCCUGCUCUGAGCUCAGCCUGCCCUGCACCUGCUCUUCAACCCAGGGCCUGACAGUGAUGGACAAACUGCAGGCGAUUUUAGGUGAUUGCUAUUAAGGGCAUAAUUCAGUUUCUUUCUGUAUCUGGGAGGGAUCUUUAUGAGGUGGGCUGAAGGAUGCUGUAGUCUGCUUUUCUUUUUGUUCUUCAUGGCAAGAAUUAGUGGCUCAUGUCUGGAAAGGAGGGAUUGAAACAACGGCUUGCAUUUGCUUGGAUUAAUCACUGGCCACGGAUAUCUUAAGAGGGUCAGGGACUUCCUGCUAUAGAUGAGGAAUUAUUAAGAACCAGAAGUAGCUAAGAGUGUGAUGGAGAGGCAACUGCAUUUCCUUUGAAAACGAUGAAAAUUGAAGAUUGUGAGAUCAAAUGAUCACAAUAAUUAUAAGGUUUGAUUCCAUUUAUUUAUUUAUUUAAUAGGAAAAGUAAAUAUUCUUGUAUUAAGUCACUUCUCAGAACAUGAAAUGCUAGGUGGUUUAGAUAAAAAAAUGUCCAGUGGGGGGAAAAUAAUGAAUAGACUUAAUUCCAUAAUUGCAUUUCAUCAGAUUGAUAUAAGAUUCAUCACUUUAAGUAAGGCAACAAAAGCAAAGUAUAUUUGUCUUGUAAGUGGUGUAAAAACCUUCACAUAGCAUCAAAAAUACGGUACCCUUAUUUUGUUUAUGACAUUUAUGGGGACCUGUCUGUCCCCAGGGAUAUAUUGGUUGAGCAUGGCAGCCAUUGAACAUGGAUGCUGAUGGGCUGUGCCAGGGCUGAGGUAAAACCCAUUCUGCUCUUUGGGUUAUCUUGAACUCUGAACCAAGUUAUUUCUCAAUGAAAAACACCUGAUAUCAGUAAUGGAGGCGGCCUCAGGAUCGUUAAUUCGUUGUAUGGAGUACUGAGAUACGAGCAUCCUUUUCUCUCCCUAUCUUCCUUCUAUUCUUUCUUUGCUUUUCACUUCCUCCAUGCCAGAACUACAAGCAUGUGCCAUAAUGCCUAUCAUGAAUCUUUAAAAUAGAACUGUGCCUGCCAGCCUGGACUCUAACCCUGUGGAACUCUGACCCCAGUACAUGUUUUCUUUUAACAGUCAUCUAGAUAAUUAAAGUUAUAGUUUUUCUUAGUUAUGAUAAAAGAUAAAUUAGAUAUAAAACUUGAAACUCACCAAGAUAAGUUAGAUUUUCUCUAACUUUGUCAAAUACAAAUAGACUAGAUAUUGUAAUUGUAGUUCUUACUUGCUGUUUUGUUGUACAUAAUUUUAUUAUGUUAAAGUUAAAAAACCUUCCUUUUUGACUAGACAGAAAAGGGGAAAUGCUGUAGGAUAAUCCUUCUGUAUACUGUGAAUAUGCACUAAUCUCAUUGGUUGAUAAUAAAGCUGAUUUGGUUUACUUAAGAUAAAUAAAACUAGUCAUCAUUGAGAUAUCUCAUCACUGCAAUAGAAAAGUAGCCAAGGCAUUCAAUAAUAUUUAUGUUCUAGAAUUUAGUGUGUGUGUGUGUGUGUGUGUGUGUGUGUGUGUGUGUGUGUGUGUGUGUGUGUGAAUUUCUGUAUUCACCUCUGUGUGGGGCAUAUGUGUGCAUUCUUGGUAUUAAUGCAUUUGGAAGCCAGAGGCCAAUAUUGAUAUCUUUUUUUACUUACUCACUCCUCACCUCAUUUUUUGAGAUGAGUCUUUCACCAAAUCUGUAGCAUGCCGGUUUGGCUAUAGUAGCUGGCUAGGAAGCCCCAGGGGUCUCUGUUUCUGCUUUCUCAGCACUGGGAUUACAAACAUGACCUCUGCACCCAGUUGUUUUAUGUGGUUUCUGUGGAUUGUAUGUCCCAUGCUUACAAGGGAAUAUAUUUAUUAAAGACUAAGCCAAUUUAGUUUGUAAGCCCCCCAAUUUUGAAUAUUUACUAAGCCUUUGGCUUUAUAUUUGUAACGUUGGAAUUUAUGUGUCUAUUACUGAUUAGGAAACUAUACCUUAUUAUUAAAUAUUUAUCUUGUUUCUUGCUACUG
ensembl:lncRNA